rnacentral:rRNA from 1 species
GUGGGGAAUAUUGGACAAUGGGCGAAAGCCUGAUCCAGCCAUGCCGCGUGUGUGAAGAAGGUCUUCGGAUUGUAAAGCACUUUAAGUUGGGAGGAAGGGCAGUAAGUUAAUACCUUGCUGUUUUGACGUUACCGACAGAAUAAGCACCGGCUAACUUCGUGCCAGCAGCCGCGGUAAUACGUAGGGUGCAAGCGUUAAUCGGAAUUACUGGGCGUAAAGCGCGCGUAGGUGGUUUUGUAAGUUGGAGGUGAAAUCCCCGGGCUCAACCUGGGAACUGCCUCCAAAACUGCAUGACUAGAGUACGGUAGAGGGUAGUGGAAUUUCCUGUGUAGCGGUGAAAUGCGUAGAUAUAGGAAGGAACACCAGUGGCGAAGGCGACUACCUGGACUGAUACUGACACUGAGGUGCGAAAGCGUGGGGAGCAAACAGGAUUAGAUACACGUGUAGUCC